rnacentral:rRNA from 1 species
GGAAUAUUGGACAAUGGGCGAAAGCCUGAUCCAGCCAUGCCGCGUGUGUGAAGAAGGUCUUCGGAUUGUAAAGCACUUUAAGUUGGGAGGAAGGGUAGUAACUUAAUACGUUGCUACUUUGACGUUACCGACAGAAUAAGCACCGGCUAACUUCGUGCCAGCAGCCGCGGUAAUACGAAGGGUGCAAGCGUUAAUCGGAAUUACUGGGCGUAAAGCGCGCGUAGGUGGUUCAGUAAGUUGAAUGUGAAAUCCCCGGGCUCAACCUGGGAACUGCAUCCAAAACUGCUGAGCUAGAGUACGGUAGAGGGUAGUGGAAUUUCCUGUGUAGCGGUGAAAUGCGUAGAUAUAGGAAGGAACACCAGUGGCGAAGGCGACUACCUGGACUGGUACUGACACUGAGGUGCGAAAGCGUGGGGAGCAAACAGGAUUAGAUACCCUAG